rnacentral:snoRNA from 1 species
AUCCCAUGAUGAGGAUGCUUACAAAGCAAUUCCUUUAAUCUUUCCCAUGCCUUAUAGAAAGACUCGCCAUCCAAUUGUUGAAAAGUAGUUAACUCAUUUUGCACUU